rnacentral:tRNA from 1 species
GAGGGUAUAGCUCAGUAGUAGAGCACAUGCUUAGCAUGCACAAGGUCCUGGGUUUGAUCCCCAGUAUCUCCA